rnacentral:rRNA from 1 species
CUCGCAGUCUACCAUGCAGUCGAGCGGUACAGAGAGAAGCUUGCUUCUCUGCUGACGAGCGGCGGACGGGUGAGUAAUGCCUGGGAAAUUGCCCUGAUGUGGGGGAUAACCAUUGGAAACGAUGGCUAAUACCGCAUGAUGCCCUUGCUUAUAAUGAGCGGGGGCCAAAGAGGGGGACCUUCGGGCCUCUCGCGUCAGGAUAUGCCCAGGUGGGAUUAGCUAGUUGGUGAGGUAAGGGCUCACCAAGGCGACGAUCCCUAGCUGGUCUGAGAGGAUGAUCAGCCACACUGGAACUGAGACACGGUCCAGACUCCUACGGGAGGCAGCAGUGGGGAAUAUUGCACAAUGGGCGCAAGCCUGAUGCAGCCAUGCCGCGUGUAUGAAGAAGGCCUUCGGGUUGUAAAGUACUUUCAGUCGUGAGGAAGGGGAUAUCGUUAAUAGCGGUAUGCUUUGACGUUAGCGACAGAAGAAGCACCGGCUAACUCCGUGCCAGCAGCCGCGGUAAUACGGAGGGUGCGAGCGUUAAUCGGAAUUACUGUGCGUAAAGCGCAUGCAGGUGGUUUGUUAAGUCAGAUGUGAAAGCCCGGGGCUCAACCUCGGAGUUGCAUUUGAAACUGGCAGGCUAGAGUACUGUAGAGGGGGGUAGAAUUUCAGGUGUAGCGGUGAAAUGCGUAGAGAUCUGAAGGAAUACCAGUGGCGAAGGCGGCCCCCUGGACAGAUACUGACACUCAGAUGCGAAAGCGUGGGGAGCAAACAGGAUUAGAUACCCUGGUAGUCCACGCCGUAAACGAUGUCUACUUGGAGGUUGCGGCCUUGAGCUGUGGCUUCGGAGCUAACGCGUAAGUAGACCGCUGAUAGAC